AGCGAACGCUGGCGGCAGGCUUAACACAUGCAAGUCGAGCGGGCGUAGCAAUACGUCAGCGGCAGACGGGUGAGUAACGCGUGGGAACGUACCUUUUGGUUCGGAACAACACAGGGAAACUUGUGCUAAUACCGGAUAAGCCCUUACGGAGAAAGAUUUAUCGCCGAAAGAUCGGCCCGCGUCUGAUUAGCUAGUUGGUGUGGUAACGGCGCACCAAGGCGACGAUCAGUAGCGGUCUGAGAGGAUGAUCAGCCACAUUGGGACUGAGACACGGCCCAAACUCCUACGGGAGGCAGCAGUGGGGAAUAUUGGACAAUGGGCGCAAGCCUGAUCCAGCCAUGCCGCGUGAGUGAUGAAGGCCCUAGGGUUGUAAAGCUCUUUUGUGCGGGAAGAUAAUGACGGUACCG
rnacentral:rRNA from 1 species